GACGAACGCUGGCGGCGUGCUUAACACAUGCAAGUCGAACGGAAAGGCCCUGCGUUUGUGGGGUGCUCGAGUGGCGAAGGGGGGAGUAACACGUGAGUAACCUGCCCUUGACUGUGGGAUAACAUCUGGAAACUGGGGCUAAUACCGGAUAGGAGCUCCUGAUGCAUGGGGGGGGAUGGAAAGUUUCGGCUGUUGGGGCUGGACUCGAGGCUUAUCAGCUUGUUGGUGGGGUAGUGGCUUCCCACGGCUUUGACGGAUAGCCCGCCUGAGAGGGUGACCGGCGACCUUGGGCCUGCGAUACGCACCAGUCUGCUACCGUCCGCAGCGGGCGAGAGCAUUACGCAGUGGGGCCGCGCCAGAGGUGGCAACGCCCGGUUCGGAAUGCCCGCUUUCGGGUUGUAAACCGAUGUCGAAUGUGCCGAAGCGUUAGUGACGGUACUGAGUCAAGAAGCCCCGGCUAACUACGUG
rnacentral:rRNA from 1 species